UUAGUCAGAUGUUGAAUAUUGUGGAUUGAUCCCAACAUUUCAUCUUUUAUGUCUUAUUUUCCAAUUCUUUUGGAUAUAUACUCACAUUUCAUUGGCUAUAUAUUUCAUUUCCCAUAUUUUCAUAUACACAUCCAUGUAUAUGUAUAUAUAUGUAUAUGUAUAUAUAUAUAUAUAUACACACAACAAAACAGUUCAAAGAUUCCAUAAUUGUGUUUUCUGAUCUUUCUAUUGAGUUUUCUACUUUAGCUAUGUCAUCUAAUUCAAAGGGAUCAUUUAUAGGAGAAUAAAGAAGAGAUGACCUUGAAGAUCUAAAUCCAUGCUAUUUAGCCUUAAAGUCUGUAUGAGCCUCGAAGUCACUGAGUUUAGCAUCUCCAGAUGAAGAGAAUAGUUUCCAGAAAGAAAGACUUAUCUAAGCCCACCCCCUGCCCCGAAGAUCUGCUGAAGCCGCGAGUUCCAGCUGAAGAGCCGGCAGGAUAAUAGUGACUUUCACACUUCAUCUGCCUGUUAUCACUGAACCCCCAAACCCCGCUUUGCGAGGAUAAGAUGUCGUUGAAAGGAAUGUAGCACAAUCUACUGUUGCAGGAAGGAACGACCACAAGCACGUGGUUUGUGUGAUGUCUAACGGCUGUCAGGAACUGCUCCAAGAUACAAAAUACUCUUCAGUGCUUCCCUGAGUUUGCUGUGGGCCUCGGGGCACCUCAACCCACAGUUUGGGAAUCGUGGGCUUAAACACAGAAGGUCCAGAAUUAGGGACCUACUGAUAAUGCCAAAGGGGCAGCUUCUUAAGAUUUCCAACUUCCUAACAAGGGCAUUCAGAUUUCAAAUGUUUAGGCGACUCCGAAGUUGAGUAAUUCAGAAUCUGUGUAGUUAAGCUAACUUGUUGAAACCGAUGAAUUUUAAGGAACCACUUUGGUACUCUUUCCUGGGUAACAGAUGAGAAACAACGAGAUCUCCUCCCUUCAGCCUCAGGGAUGCUGGAGCUAUGAGUUGCAGGUUGUCUUCAAGACAUUGACACUUGCCCUGGAGAGUUGUUCGUGGAGAUCGAGGGAAUGACAUAAUACGCAGGGAACGCAUCUAUGCUACCAGAGUUCCCAUGUCAGCCCACGCUGGUCAAGAAAGGCAGAGAAUAGUUUCAUUCCAAGCUUAAGCCAAUAUUCUUGCCACUACACCAGGGCGCUGCCCAAUAUGACGGGAAAUAUUACACGAGUGGUAAAAAUGUGAGCUAAGCCCACCCCAUCUCCAAACGCAAAAAGCUUCCGAGACCCCUGAAGGUAAAUGGAACUAAAUCAUCGACACAGUCUCCAAAGCGACUUCUUAUUUAGUUCAGAACUUUCUAUGUGACCCCAAUCAGGUCAUUUUCUAGCUCUUUGUUUCUUUAAAUAGAGCACUGUAGAAGAGGAAGUCACUGUUCUUCUCUAAAGCUACUUAGCAAAUUGCAAAUGAAAGAGAAAAUACACAUGCAACUAAGAGAGUGUGUCACCUUGCUGAACUAAAAAAUAUGGCCCAGUUUCACUUUCUCCUCCCUCUCUCUCUCUCUCUCUCUCUCUCUCUGUUUCUCAUAAUUCUCAGCCAAGACAAUAGGAGUCAUGUGAUGUGACCGAGAAAUUGGGCCAGUUAAAAAUAGAAGGCGCACUCCACCAAG